GCUUCAUGGGGCGCAGCCUGAUCCAGCCAUGCCGCGUGAGUGAUGAAGGCCUUAGGGUCGUAAAGCUCUUUCGCCAGAGAUGAUAAUGACAGUAUCUGGUAAAGAAACCCCGGCUAACUCCGUGCCAGCAGCCGCGGUAAUACGGAGGGGGUUAGCGUUGUUCGGAAUUACUGGGCGUAAAGCGUACGUAGGCGGAUUAGUCAGUCAGAGGUGAAAUCCCAGGGCUCAACCCUGGAACUGCCUUUGAUACUGCUAGUCUUGAGUUCGAGAGAGGUGAGUGGAAUUCCAAGUGUAGAGGUGAAAUUCGUAGAUAUUUGGAGGAACACCAGUGGCGAAGGCGGCUCACUGGCUCGAUACUGACGCUGAGGUACGAAAGUGUGGGGAGCAAACAGGAUUAGAUACCCUGGUAGUCCACACCGUAAACGAUGAAUGCCAGUCGUCGGGCAGUAUACUGUUCGGUGACACACCUAACGGAUUAAGCAUUCCGCCUGGGGAGUACGGUCGCAAGAUUAAAACUCAAAGGAAAUUGACGGA
rnacentral:rRNA from 1 species